ACCACUGCUGCUACUUAAUGACCAUUCGGCAGUGCAGUGUAUCGUGCUUGUCUUUAGGUUGGGUUUUUGGUGAUCUUCAGGAUGGUUUCUCAGAGUCAGAGUCUCUAAUGUGUUGGGGUCUCUGGCUGAGCGUGAGCAGGCACGUGCAGAAGGGUUCACCCUAUCAUGGCUCAGCAGAAACUACAGAGGUUUGAACACUUUCACCCUUCACUGGCCUAGUAACUGGCUGUUUGAAGGCAUGGGUGCCCAAUCCUGGUCCUAGAGAUCUCCCACCCUGAUCUAUCACACCUGAUCCAGGUAAGGCAGGCCUUCAGGUGCAUCUGAAUAUUGCAACUAUCUCCUAGACCAGGAUUGGACAGGCCUGUUCUACUGGAGUACUGUGGAAAGAAUACUUCACUUACACUGACAGUGGAACACUGCAGGGGGAUGGAGAUGGAGAUUCAGGCUCUGGAGAUCCUGCAGCUGUAGUGUUGAAAUGAGGAGAAAACGUGAAGGGAACCUGGCUGACCCAAGUGCGUGUCAAUAUUGCAUAAUUCUGCAGCGUCUGACCAUGAGCUCACAGACCCUACCAGUUCAAUGCCUCCUGGAUUCUUCAUCCCUGAAUAAAAUUCGGUUGUCUUGAA